AGGGAUAACAUCAGGGAUAAAUAACAUCAGGGAUAACAUCAGGGAUAACAUCAGUGAUAACAUCAGGGAUAACAUCAGGGAUAACAUCAAUUGAUUGUUUUAUAUCAAAUGCUGUUUUCUACAUACAUACAUUCCGAUUAAUUGCAUUCCAACUGAACCACUUAAUGUGUAAAAUUGACUGUAUUUGUCUUAUUUGAGAAGUUUAUGUUUAUGUUUGUCAGUUGAAGACAGAUGAACUGAAAGUCUCUUUAGUUCAGUGGUCGAUCUCCAAGGCAUUCAUAGUCGAUCACCAAACAUUUCUGUUAAAAACAAUGAUAAAGUCUUCAUUCCUAUUUCAUUUGUUUGUUUAGCGCUGUUGGUGGUAGGUGCACGAUUGGUGCAUGAUUCCGCAGCCCUAGCGCCAGAAAGGAAAAGUGUUUCAAUUUUGAACCGUUUCAUGUGUCUGAAGGUGGAACUCCACGUACCCGGCAGGCCCAGAGACCAAAUCAAGUGCCCCUAUAGGCCUACCGCUGGCCAAUCAGAUGGCUCAGCUUACCGUGUCUGCAGUUUCCUCGAGCUAUAGGCUGUAAAAAGAAGCAUCGAACGCGCAAAGUUGAUACUGUGAGAUUUCAAAACACUUAAAACCAUGACUCGAGAGACUCGAUGAACACAGCAAAGAGCUGCUGUUUUUACUAACUAAGUUCAUGUUUAAGUUGUUAUUCAGCAACGUCAACACUUUGUUCAACACUUUUAUAAAGCAUAAAAUGCGCGUUCUCCCUACUUCCACUCAUGCUACAACCAGCACUGCAGCUGCAAUGAAUGAGUAGCAAAGUGUUUUAAUAAGCUUGAGUUGUUAUUUUUAGCAGCUUGUGUCUUUUUCAAUAUCAAGGAAUGUUUCACUUUCUCUGGUCAUGGGAGUAACAACAUGAAUUGGUGCAUGAGGCAGAAAUAAUGCAGUGCUACUUGAGUUUCACCAUCAGAUGGAAGACUACAUCCCAUUAUCUUAGCAGAGGGAUGGUGUGUUAGGUGAGAGCCAGCCUCACUGCUGCUCCCUCCCCUCAGACUGACCAUCAGAUGGAAGACUACGUCCCCUUUUCUUAGCAGAGGGAUGGUGUGUUAGGUGAGAGCCAGCCUCACUGCUGCUCCCUCCCCUCAGAGUGACCAUCAGAUGGAAGACUAAGUCCCCUUACGUCCCCUUAUCUUAGCAGAGGGAUGGUGUGUUAGGUGAGAGCCAGCCUCACUGCUGCUCCCUCCCCUCAGACUGACCAUCAGAUGCAGGUCAUCAGUACAGUAAAAAAAAGUAUAUAUAAUUAUUAUGUCACUCAGCUGUGCCUCACAAGUAAUACAUAAAAUUAUCUAUUACCAGUCUGAUCAUAAUACCUAUAAUGUUGAAAUAUAAUUUUAGAAUGUCCUAUUGAAAAACAACAUUGGCAGGGCAAUUCAAACCUAGCCAAUAUACAGUGAUAGUGUAUUGGGACUAUAGCUUACUGCACAAACCUCAUUACCACAGGACUGUUUUUAAUUGGUUAAUGUUGCAUAGGCUUACAUUUUUUAAGUCAUGUAAAUAAAACAUCUGAGCGGUUUCCUUUUCCUUUUAGACCACUGCUUUAGUACAUAGCAGCAGAGGGUUUAGCCCUGCAACCUUCAGUCAACACUUCAACCUGGUUUAGCCCUGCUACAGGGAAGCUUAACUUCAACUUGGUUUAGCACUGCUACAGGGAAGCUUCACUUCAAC
ensembl:lncRNA